rnacentral:rRNA from 1 species
AAUCGUAAGAAGACACCGGGAUUGCCUCAGUAACGGCGAGUGAAGCGGCAAGAGCUCAAAUUUGAAAUCUGGCCCCCUCGGGGUCCGAGUUGUAAUUUGCAGAGGAUGCUUCGGGUGCGGUCCCCAUCUAAGUGCCCUGGAACGGGCCGUCAUAGAGGGUGAGAAUCCCGUCUGGGAUGGGCGGCCGCGCCCGUGUGAAGCUCCUUCGACGAGUCGAGUUGUUUGGGAAUGCAGCUCUAAGCGGGUGGUAAAUUUCAUCUAAAGCUAAAUACUGGCCGGAGACCGAUAGCGCACAAGUAGAGUGAUCGAAAGAUGAAAAGCACUUUGAAAAGAGAGUUAAACAGCACGUGAAAUUGUUGAAAGGGAAGCGUUGUCCACCAGACUCGCCCGGGGGGGUUCAGCCGGCACGUGUGCCGGUGUACUCCUCUCCGGGCGGGCCAGCAUCGGUUUGGGCGGCUGGUGAAAGGCCCCGGGAAUGUACCACCCUCCGGGGUGUCUUAUAGCCCGGGGUGCCAUACAGCCAGCCUGGACCGAGGCCCGCGCUUCGGCGAGGAUGCUGGCGUAAUGGUGGUCAACGGCCCGUCUUGACCAACGGACCAGCUUAAGUCAAGCGGGUA